AUUGAACGCUGGCGGCAUGCUUUACACAUGCAAGUCGAACGGUAACAGGCCUUCGGGUGCUGACGAGUGGCGAACGGGUGAGUAAUGCAUCGGAACGUGCCCAGAGGUGGGGGAUAACGCAGCGAAAGCUGUGCUAAUACCGCAUGUGAUCUGAGGAUGAAAGCGGGGGACCAAGCAGCAAUGUUUGGCCUCGCGCCUCUGGAGCGGCCGAUGUCAGAUUAGGUAGUUGGUGGGGUAAAGGCCUACCAAGCCGACGAUCUGUAGCUGGUCUGAGAGGACGACCAGCCACACUGGGACUGAGACACGGCCCAGACUCCUACGGGAGGCAGCAGUGGGGAAUUUUGGACAAUGGGCGCAAGCCUGAUCCAGCAAUGCCGCGUGCGGGAAGAAGGCCUUCGGGUUGUAAACCGCUUUUGUGCGGAACGAAAAGGCUCUGGCUAAUACCUGGGGCUGAUGACGGUACCGUAAGAAUAAGCACCGGCUAACUACGUG
rnacentral:rRNA from 1 species